UUUUGAAGGAGAUCAAGGAGAAGAAAGGUUGAAUCAAGGGUUUGGAACUUGUAUAAGCUUGGCUUUCAAGAUUUCUUCAAGAUUGAGAUUUGAGCUUGGAUUGAAGUGUGGAGAUAGGAGGAGAAGGGAUUGAGCAAGGGUUUGAAGAAUUGACUAAGGUUAUUUGAACUUGGA